rnacentral:rRNA from 1 species
AGAGAGAGACAUGCGCGCAUAUCAAUAAGCGGAGGAAAAGAAACUAACUAGGAUUCCCUCAGUAACGGCGAGUGAAGCGGGAAGAGCUCAAAUUUGAAAUCUUCAAGGUUCUACCUUGACGAAUUGUAGUUUAAAGAAGUGUUUUCUGUUGGAGUUUUGGUAAAAGUUCUUUGGAAUAGGACAUCAUAGAGGGUGAGAAUCCCGUAUUUGACCAUUAUUUCCAGCUUUGUGAUACACUUUCAAAGAGUCGGAUUGUUUGGGAAUGCAGUCCAAAAUGGGUGGUAAAUUUCAUCUAAAGCUAAAUACUGGCGAGAGACCGAUAGCGAACAAGUACCGUGAGGGAAAGAUGAAAAGAACUUUGAAAAGAGAGUUAAACAGUACGUGAAAUUGUCAAAAGGGAAGCGUUUGACACCAGUGUUGUUUUCUCGAAAAUCAAUUAAAAAAGGCAGGAUUUUGUGUUGUAUUGACUUUAUCAGCUUUCUGCACUCUUUUCUUGUCUUUUUUAAUGCACUUUUCGUUUAACAAGUCAACAUCAAUUUCUUUUGUUGUAAAAGGGUCAUUGGAAGGUGGCUUUCUUUUCGGAGAAAGUGUUUAUAGCCUUUGACUCCUGCAAUCGGAGAGACUGAGGUCUGCGGCGUAGAUCCUUCGGGGUUAGAUACAUUUGUGCUAAGUUAUAGCCUUUCAUAGACAACUUGUUGACUAUGAUCAGUCAUGUAGCUUACUCGCUUAUGCUAUUUUACCUACGCUUAGGAUGUUGAUGUGAUACUGCGAGCA